rnacentral:lncRNA from 1 species
GCGAGGUAGAUGUCUAACAAGAGUUCUUAAGAUUCGAGUUCAGUAUAUUCUGCCACCCCCUAAGCCUUCCAAAACACUGAUUUGGCUGCUGCCCUUUUUCUGCUACCUCUAGAAACAUUCUUGUUAGUAGUGGCGGCAGUAGAAGUCAAUUAUCCCCUUGUUCUAUCUCAAGAAGCUCCAGAUGGCGUCUUCCGUGGGCAACGUGGCCGACAGCACAGGGUUAGCUGAGUUGGCACAUCGGGAAUAUCAGGCAGGAGACUUUGAGGCAGCUGAGAGACACUGCAUGCAGCUCUGGAGACAAGAGCCUGACAAUACUGGUGUUCUUUUAUUACUUUCAUCUAUACAUUUCCAGUGUCGAAGGCUGGACAG